UUUUGCAAUAACGUAACUAACAUGCAAUGUAUUAAAUAAUCACAUCUCCUUAAAACAAUUACAACUUCAUUUUUGCUCCACCCUUAAUCAGAAGUCUCGGGUUCAAGCCUUGGCUCUAGAGAAAAUCAUAUUGAGAGCGCCAACCCUGAAUAGUCCGGCAAUGCACAAUCUAGAUUUAGUCGAAGAUAUAAUGCGGCCUCCAGACACCGAGUGGUAAACAAAAAAAAACUACUUUUAAUCUUUAAAGAUCAUAAUUGGCUUUAGG
rnacentral:misc_RNA from 1 species